GAUGAACGCUGGCGGCGUGCCUAAUACAUGCAAGUCGAGCGAACAGACGAGGAGCUUGCUCCUCUGACGUUAGCGGCGGACGGGUGAGUAACACGUGGAUAACCUACCUAUAAUACUGGGAUAACUUCGGGAAACCGGAGCUAAUACCGGAUAAUAUAUUGAACCGCAUGGUUCAAUAGUGAAAGACGGUUUUGCUGUCUCUUAUAGAUGGAUCCGCGCCGCAUUAGCUAGUUGGUAAGGUAACGGCUUACCAAGGCAACGAUGCGUAGCCGACCUGAGAGGGUGAUCGGCCACACUGGAACUGAGACACGGUCCAGACUCCUACGGGAGGCAGCAGUAGGGAAUCUUCCGCAAUGGGCGAAAGCCUGACGGAGCAACGCCGCGUGAGUGAUGAAGGUCUUCGGAUCGUAAAACUCUGUUAUUAGGGAAGAACAAAUGUGUAAGUAACUAUGCACGUCUUGACGGUACCUAAUCAGAAAGCCACGGCUAACUACGUG
rnacentral:rRNA from 1 species